rnacentral:sRNA from 1 species
CACUUGGCUUGUUUUAGAUGUUUGCCUACAGCAGUCCAAGUGGCAUUACCAGUAAAGCCACCUGGAUUCCCAUAAUAAUGCAGAUAUGUAAGAUACACAGAUUGUUUUAGAACCCCAUCUUUGCCUUUGUUUUUUGUUUUGUUUUUGUUUUGUUUCAUUUCAUUUUAUAAAAUGAUGUCUUCUAGGGAACGUGUCUACAAUCUGAAAUCCCAUCUCAUAACCUGGCUUCCCCUUGUGAUGACAAAUCUUAAAUACUGUAUAUUUAUAAUUGGCUUAGGGGGAACUGGAAAUCCUUGAACACAGAAACAUGAGCUCGGUGCCAUCAGAGAGUUUGCUUUUUAUAUCACUUAUUUUGGCCUAUUGGCAGAAGAAGAAAGAGACGGACGUUGUGAUCACUCAGUCUCUUAGAUUAGAGAGGCCAGCUAGUAUUGUGGCCAUAAAAAAAACUACUCAGUUUUCAGAGUCAACUGUCUAGGUCUUACACUGCAAUAUAAAUAAGAUUAAGUUCUGCUGCCCGCAUGACAGCAGCAUGUGCCAUGGGUCACAUGGGGGUAUAAUGACCUUCUGCCUCUGUUCAUAGGCUGUGCUACUCAUGGACGCCGAAAAGCGUAUCCGGUUACUGCAGUUUGUCACAGGGACAUCGCGAGUACCUAUGAAUGGAUUUGCCGAACUUUAUGGUUCCAAUGGUCCUCAGCUGUUUACAAUAGAGCAGUGGGGCAGUCCUGAGAAACUGCCCAGAGCUCACACAUGCUUUAAUCGCCUUGACUUACCUCCAUAUGAAACCUUUGAAGAUUUACGAGAGAAACUUCUCAUGGCCGUGGAAAAUGCUCAAGGAUUUGAAGGGGUGGAUUAAGCACCGUCUGCCUCGGGGGUGGUUGUUCUUCAGGCAAGUUCUGCUUGCACUUUUGCAUUUGCCUAACAGACUUUUGCAGAGAUGAUGGCAGAGAGCAGCUGCAGGCAUGGUCCCUGGAGCCGAGCCUUCACCACGCACUCGUCCAAGUUCGGAUGCGGGAACCUGGUCCCAGCUUGAGUUCCUGCAUUUCCCACCACAAAUUAUCAACUGGUUGAUGUGUACACUAAUUACAUUUCAGGAGGACUUAUGCUAUUUAUGUUGUGCCUCUGCAGGCAAAGCCCUUAAUAAAUAUUUUACAUCCUUUCUAAUGACAAUGAAUGGAAUUAAUCACUCUACAGGUAUAGUAUUACAACUCAUGUUUACUUUUUAAAAUGAUUUAGACCGAUUUUCAGAUUUUAUUUCAUUAUGAUUAAAGAUGUCUCAUGUACUUGGAAAAGUGAGCAUUUUUUUUUUUUUUUGUAUUUCACUUUCAUACCAGGCUUAAUGUCAAUGACAUUUUUAUUUUUGAAGUACUCUGACACCUCCACCCUCUACUUUAUUAGAAUUGGAAGGCAAAUUUUUGUCCAAAAACCUUCUACAGACAAGUACUUUGAGAGAAUUUCCAAUAUAAUAUUAGACAUAAUGAUAAUUUUUUCCAUACUCAGAAUGAAAAACUGGAUAUUACCUUUUUGUUUUGGGGUUUUUUUGUACAAAUUUAGCUAAUAGCUACAGGCUGAGAGAAUUGUAACAUAGCAUGACAAAUUUUGUGUUGACUUGAAAGGAAUCACACCAUUAUUCCUUAGAAGUAAUUACAUGUGCUCUAACACAUUUGAGACAGGGUUGGACUCCCAUUUCUCAUCAGAGAAAUUAGUUAACCCUUCCUGGCACUGUACAGUCAUCUUUUAUUCUAUUUCCUCUUUGCUGUUUGUAGUAGAGACAUUUUGAAUGAAACUUGGCACUGCUUGAUUCAAAACUGUGGAAACCAGAUCUGUUUAGUCUCCUGUUUGUAUGCGUUUGCUAAUGGUAGCUAAAUAACCAGUUUUUGUUGUAAAUGCACCAAUUCUGAAGGCACUUUAUGUACUACAUGGAGGUCAUAUCUGGUUUUGUUUUUAUUUUUUUAUCAUGAACAUUAAAUGUGAUGAUGAUUUCUUUUCCCUGCACACAUCUUUCCGGUGCAAUAUCUAUCAAUUGUGAAUCUGGCUGCUGGUGUAUAAAAACCUGGAUGUAAAGCUGAGCCUACACAGACCUGUCCUCACCAACUGUUUUGUGAUUUCUCCUCAACUACAAAGAUUUAUUUAAUGUACACUUAAUCUAACUGAGUUUUGUUACCAGUGACCUGUUGCAUGCUUCGAUACCGUGUACUGCCUGAGUUGUGUCUGUUGUGUGCUAGAUUAAAAGUGAGACAGAGACUUGACUUGAUCCUCUGAGCUCAACCUGUUGAGCUGGUAGUGGCAGAGGACUGAGGGUACCUGCACAGUUUGAUUCUUUUCCACGUGUAAGUCUCCAUUGCAGAAUUGUCGUGCUUUGAGAAAACACCUGAGGCAGUGUGGGAGUUGAACAACCCCGCUGUCCUUUUUAACCUGUGUUGUCCUAGACCCUGUCGGGGCAGUUAGGGGACACUAGAGAUUUGAUCUCAUGUCAGUCAUCAAUAGGACAAAAAAGUUGUGGUUUGGGGAGGUCUGUUUGUUACAUAAAAAGGACCUUUCGGUGUAAGAAAUUGCCGUUUUUACCCUGCCCUGGCUGGCGUGUGAGAAGCCAUGGAAGGUUGUGGUUGUAAAUGAGUUGUCUAAAGGGGUGCAGAGGCCUGAGGGUUCUAAAAGAAGGUAGAUUUCUACAGAGCUGAGUGUUGGUUCCUUUUUCUUAUUGGUUGAAAAAUACCUGGUAGUGAUCAGAAAACUUAGAUGCUAUGUAACU